rnacentral:rRNA from 1 species
UACGUAGGGGGCUAGCGUUGUCCGGAAUCAUUGGGCGUAAAGAGCGUGUAGGCGGCCCGGUAAGUCCGCUGUGAAAGUCGGGGGCUCAACCCUCGAAAGCCGGUGGAUACUGUCGGGCUAGAGUGCGGAAGAGGCGAGUGGAAUUCCUGGUGUAGCGGUGAAAUGCGCAGAUAUCUGGAGGAACACCGGUGGCGAAGGCGGCAUCCUGGACCAACACUGACGCUGAGUGAGCGAAAGCCAGGGGAGCAAACGGG